UACGGGAGGCAGCAGUUGGGAAUAUUGCACAAUGGGCGCAAGCCUGAUGCAGCCAUGCCGCGUGUAUGAAGAAGGCCUUCGGGUUGUAAAGUACUUUCAGCAGUGAGGAAGGUGGGUAUGUUAAUAGCAUACUCAUUUGACGUUAGCUGCAGAAGAAGCACCGGCUAACUCCGUGCCAGCAGCCGCGGUAAUACGGAGGGUGCGAGCGUUAAUCGGAAUUACUGGGCGUAAAGCGCAUGCAGGUGGUUUGUUAAGUCAGAUGUGAAAGCCCCGGGGCUCAACCUCGGAAUUGCAUUUGAAACUGGCAGACUAGAGUACUGUAGAGGGGGUAGAAUUUCAGGUGUAGCGGUGAAAUGCGUAGGGAUCUGAAGGAAUACCGGUGGCGAAGGCGGCCCCCUGGACAGAUACUGACACUCAGAUGCGAAAGCGUGGGGAGCAAACAGGAUUAGAUACCCUGGUAG
rnacentral:rRNA from 1 species